UCGCAUACUGGAUCGUAAUUAUUCAACUGAAAAAAAAACCGAACAUUAUUUAAUUUGACAUUUGAAAACAAAAUCAUUCAACAACACGAUUUGAAUCAUCAUCAUUCAUCAAAAUUUUUGUACCAAAAUGCUUUCCAAAUAUGCACCGACAAUGGUUCUUGGAUUUGCAAGAUCACGGCCUGGUAUAAGUCUGUGUUUAUGUUGUUUCAGUAACAAAAAAAAUCUACCUGAAUGUGAAGAAUUAAAAAAAUUUCCUCCACAAAAACGAGAUUUCAUACCGCCUAAAGCUCACCAAGAGCCACCAUCAUUUUCAGAUCCUCCAGAUAGCGCCGACUUCCCGGAUCGAACACAAGAACCAACAAGAUGUAUUCCGAGAGAUAAACCGGUAGAUUCUCGUAUAAGGAAUUUACAAAUCCAAAAACCAUUAUCAAAACUAAAACCAGAUUAAAGUAAUAGAUUCCUCCAGUUCAACGAUAAGUGGGAUCUAAAACUAGGUAAAUUUCAACGUCACUUGGUAACUACAAUUUUUGAUUUUGCAAGACUUCGUAAAUUUUGUGUAACGACCGAUCAGUAUUAUCCAAGACCGACAGGACCAACUGGAAGAGAUCCACCUGAACGUGAAAGGAAAAUUCAACCACGUCAAAAACCGUUACCAUGUCCAAGUCAACCAUGUGUCCGUGACGAUUAUGUUCAUUGUAACAUAAGACGCUGUCAAUGUCCACAACCAAUUUCAAAUCUGAAACCAGAAACUAUGUCUAUGAAAUCAGAACUAAAUCCAGAUCAUCCUCUUAUGUAUCAUAACACACAACCAAUGUAUAGAGAAGAAAAAACUCCAUAUCCAGAAUUGAUCGAAAGAAGAUAUCCGUGGGAAUCUAGAGGUCAAAAAACCUAUUGUCAACAGGACCAAAGUAGAGUUAGUAGAAAUCGUGAUGAUGCACCCGCACAAUUCAAAAAGGUUUCAGAAUAACUGUGUAUUUGGAAGGAAUCGACUAAUAUUGGUGGAGGGUUAACAAUAAGACUGAAAAAAAAUAUAUAAUUGUAAAAGACACAAAAAAUAAAG